rnacentral:pre_miRNA from 1 species
GGGGGGAGGCCGGAUCCUGGGCUGUGUCCCUGCGCCCUGUGCUCCGGAGCCUGCGCUGUUGGAUUCGCGCUCCCGUCCACGCAGCCCCCU